rnacentral:rRNA from 1 species
GUCGAACGGUAACAGGAAGAAGCUUGCUUCUUUGCUGACGAGUGGCGGACGGGUGAGUAAUGUCUGGGAAACUGCCUGAUGGAGGGGGAUAACUACUGGAAACGGUAGCUAAUACCGCAUAACGUCGCAAGACCAAAGAGGGGGACCUUCGGGCCUCUUGCCAUCGGAUGUGCCCAGAUGGGAUUAGCUAGUAGGUGGGGUAACGGCUCACCUAGGCGACGAUCCCUAGCUGGUCUGAGAGGAUGACCAGCCACACUGGAACUGAGACACGGUCCAGACUCCUACGGGAGGCAGCAGUGGGGAAUAUUGCACAAUGGGCGCAAGCCUGAUGCAGCCAUGCCGCGUGUAUGAAGAAGGCCUUCGGGUUGUAAAGUACUUUCAGCGGGGAGGAAGGGAGUAAAGUUAAUACCUUUGCUCAUUGACGUUACCCGCAGAAGAAGCACCGGCUAACUCCGUGCCAGCAGCCGCGGUAAUACGGAGGGUGCAAGCGUUAAUCGGAAUUACUGGGCGUAAAGCGCACGCAGGCGGUUUGUUAAGUCAGAUGUGAAAUCCCCGGGCUCAACCUGGGAACUGCAUCUGAUACUGGCAAGCUUGAGUCUCGUAGAGGGGGGUAGAAUUCCAGGUGUAGCGGUGAAAUGCGUAGAGAUCUGGAGGAAU